rnacentral:rRNA from 1 species
AUACGGAGGGGGCUAGCGUUGUUCGGAAUUACUGGGCGUAAAGCGCGCGUAGGCGGCUUAUCAAGUUAGGCGUGAAAGGCCUGGGCUCAACCCGGGAAUUGCGCUUAAUACUGGUAGACUUGAGUCCGGGAGAGGGUGGCGGAAUUCCCAGUGUAGAGGUGAAAUUCGUAGAUAUUGGGAAGAACACCAGUGGCGAAGGCGGCCACCUGGCCCGGUACUGACGCUGAGGUGCGAAAGCGUGGGGAGCAAACAGGAUUAGAAACCCCGGUAGUCC